rnacentral:rRNA from 1 species
UAGAGUUCUGGGCCGCACGCGCGCUACACUGACAGAGCCAACGAGUUCUUUUCCUUGUUCGAAAGAAUUGGGUAAUCUUGUUAAACUCUGUCGUGCUGGGGAUAAAGCAUUGCAAUUAUUGCUUUUCAACGAGGAAUGCCUAGUAAGCGCGUGUCAUCAGCAUGCGUUGAUUACGUCCCUGACCUUUGUACACACCGCCCGUCGCUACUACCGAUUGAAUGGCUCAGUGAGGCCUUCGGACUGGCUCGAGGAGGUUGGCAACGACCACCUCAAGCCGGAAAGUUCGUCAAACUCGGUCAUUUAGAGGAAGUAAAAGUCGUAACAAGGUCUCCGUAGGUGAACCUGCGGAGGGAUCAUUACACAAAUAUGAAGGCGGGCUGGAAUCUCUCGGGGUUACAGCCUUGCUGAAUUAUUCACCCUUGUCUUUUGCGUACUUCUUGUUUCCUUGGUGGGUUCGCCCACCACUAGGACAAACAUAAACCUUUUGUAAUUGCAAUCAGCGUCAGUAACAAAUUAAUAAUUACAACUUUCAACAACGGAUCUCUUGGUUCUGGCAUCGAUGAAGAACGCAGCGAAAUGCGAUAAGUAGUGUGAAUUGCAGAAUUCAGUGAAUCAUCGAAUCUUUGAACGCACAUUGCGCCCUUUGGUAUUCCAAAGGGCAUGCCUGUUCGAGCGUCAUUUGUACCCUCAAGCUUUGCUUGGUGUUGGGCGUCUUGUCUCUAGCUUUGCUGGAGACUCGCCUUAAAGUAAUUGGCAGCCGGCCUACUGGUUUCGGAGCGCAACACAAGUCGCACUCUCUAUCA